rnacentral:rRNA from 1 species
UACGAAGGGGGCUAGCGUUGCUCGGAAUUACUGGGCGUAAAGGGAGCGUAGGCGGAUCGUUAAGUUGGGGGUGAAAGCCCGGGGCUCAACCUCGGAACUGCCUUCAAUACUGGCGAUCUUGAGAAUGGGAGAGGUGAGUGGAACUCCGAGUGUAGAGGUGAAAUUCGUAGAUAUUCGGAAGAACACCAGUGGCGAAGGCGACUCACUGGCCCAUUACUGACGCUGAGGCUCGAAAGCGUGGGGAGCAAACAGG